AAUAUUGGACAAUGGGCGAAAGCCUGAUCCAGCCAUGCCGCGUGUGUGAAGAAGGUCUUCGGAUUGUAAAUCACUUUAAGUUGGGAGGAAGGUCAGUACGUUAAUACCUUGCUGUUUUGACGUUACCGACAGAAUAAGCACCGGUUAACUCCUCUCCUGCACCCUCGGUAAUACGUAGGGUGCAAGUGUUAAUCGGAAUUACUGGGCGUACAGGGGGCGUAGGUGGUUUGUCAAGUUGGAAGUGAAAGCCCCGGGCUCAACCUGGGAACUGCUUUCAAAACUGGCAAGCUAGAGUAUGGCAGAGGGUGGUGGAAUUUCCUGUGUAGCGGUGAAAUGCGUAGAUAUAGGAAGGAGCAUCAGUGGCGAAGGCGACCACCUGGGCUAAUACUGACACUGAGGUGCGAAAGCGUGGGGAGCAAACAGG
rnacentral:rRNA from 1 species